GGCUGCUUUGAAUGCAGUGCAGAGUUCUUUAAGCUAAAUUCUCUCACCAGAAAUGGGCUCUAUCCACUCAGGAGACAUUUGAAGGAAAUGAAGAUGUAGGAGAAAACUGUUAAUCAAGUAGCAUGUCUCUCAUAUUGAAAUGUUGUCAAAAUGUGAUGUGUGUUCCAGAUAAAACACAGCUAAGCCACAGUUUGGACUAAAAAGAAACUUGGAAAGAGAAGAUAGGAAUUCUAGUCUCAUCUCUGUCACUAACUAGCUGACUGGCUGAAGGCAUGGCAGCAUCUCUGAGCUCCAUCCCCUUAUCUAUGGAAUGAAAAUGUUGGACCACAAAGAUGAAUGGGAGAAGGCAGGACCUACAUGGAAGGAGAGUCCAAAGUUCUUUAUGGCCAACUCUUCCACAGAAAGUGAUUGUCUGGUUUCCUCCUCAACAGCAGACCCACUGUGCCUGGGCAAAGGGUCAACUGGAAAUGAUCCACAUGGGGAUCCAUAGCCAUCAGAGUCACAAGCUCAGUCAACCCUGCAAUGUGUCCCAGGCAGGACUGAGGCUACAGCUGCUGCCACAUCCUGUGGAUUCAGCCAUGACAGAGGAUGGGAGCAAAGGGAAUGGGACAGACAUGAGGUGCCAGCUGAGAAUGGGCAGGCUGGGCAUGUCUGAGCCCCUGCACUCUGCCAGUCUUGAGUCCAGAACACCUGCAGAAUUCCCAUGGAAGGCACUGCCCAUGGACUAUACAGUCUUUUCCAGAUUCCACUCUGAAAACCUUUAGACAAAAUCUCAACUUAGUAAUAAUUAUUUGCAAAUUAUUUUUGAAAACUGACACAUAUUUUAACAGAGGAAAACUUUCCUCAAACUAUCUAAUCCGGAGUAGCACAAGAAAGCAGUGGUAAGAUCCUGCUGUAAUUAAUAAGCGUGUUGUUAAGUGAAUUAUACAAGAUUGAAAUAUUACCAUGGGGACAGAACCAGAGAUAAAUGUCCUCAUCUGGGCUGGGUGGAGCUCAUAGGAGAGAACUACAUUAUAAAAUCCUUUAAUUUAAAAAAUUACAUUUCCAGGGCCUAAUACUGUCAGAAAGACAAAUAAUCUGGCUCAAUAAGGAAUACAGAUUUAGAGGAUUGUACUUACAGGGCUAGUGCAGUGACCGUCCAUCACUGUGAGGAGGAAGAGCAGAGCCAUAGAAGCCGCAUCCUGGGCUGGCUGCCAGAGUGAACAGCAGAGGCAUCCUGGAGCCACUGAAUUGGUGCUGAGAGCCCCUCUUCCCUCUCCGAGGUUCCCAGCCUUGGGAGACUCCCUCACGAGCGCUCUUGAACACAGGUCUCGUUAUUCUUUAGGUAGAGUAAGCAGGAGACCGUCAUUUCAGAAGGCCCUGGGACAGAGGGGCUGCCCCUAGUGGUGUUUGACGGCUGGGGACAGGGACAGGUGGAAAGCGGUGGGACUGAGAAGGCUGGGGGAGGUGGUUGGGGUCUGGGCUCCGGUUUGGCCGGUGCUAUGAUAAGUGCACCAAAGAGUGGUGAUUUAGAGAACAACAUCUAGUUCUCGUGGUUAUAACAGCCAGGACACCCAAGACCAAGGUGCCAGUGGUUCUGGUGUCUGGUAGGGCCCACUUUCCUCGCUGCAUCCUCAUAUGAUGGAGAGCAGAGGAAACAAUGUCUCUUCUCACAAAGGCACUAUUCCCAGCACUCAGAGAGGCUGAGGCAGGAGGAUCCCAAGUUUGAGUCCAGCCUGGACAACUUUCAACUUAUACCCUGGUUCAAAAAUUUUUUUAAAAGAAAAUUAAAAGGUCUGGGGAUGUAGCUCAGUGCAUACGACCUGGGUUGCAUCCUCACUGCUGAAAAAAAAUGGCACUAACUCCAUCAAGUGGCCGCACCUCAUGACCUAAUGACCUUCCUGAAGUGACCUGGAGACCCACAUGGGCCAGCACAUCAACUGCACCUCACAAAGGGUCGGGUAACAGAUGCCUUCUGUCCCUCUCACUUCCUAGCUCUCGGAACCUGAAAUUCCCUGAGUUCUCAUGUGGACUCUGGACCCAGUGCCAGGAAAGAGGCCCUACCUCCUCCCGAGCUGUCCCCAGAGGGCUCCAACAGCAGAGUGGACCAGAGAGGUGGCCGGGCCCCCUCAUCACCAGCGACCCCAGGGCCAUCAGCAGCUAAGGUGGUCGUGAGGACUUACAGGCUGGGACAGCCCCGAGGCCCAGCGAGUCCCAGGCCUGAGGGAGACCAAGCGCCCAGUACCCAGGAGGAACCUAGCCCCACAGCACUCGGGGACCAUCCUAUCCUCUCUGACACUGCACACAGGCUGGAGAGAGACUGAAGCCAGGGACAGCAGAGUCUGGAACAGACCCCUCCCCUGCAGCUAGGAAAGAACUGCCCACCCUGUCCCUCCUCCCAGAGAAGACCCCUGGCUGUCCCAGCACAUGUCCAUCAAAACCCAAAAACCUGUGGGGUGUGGUAGCACACUCCUGUCAUCCCAGCACUUGGGAGGCUGAGGCAGGAGGAUAACAAGU